AAAAGACUUAGUCCUAACCCUGCCGUUAAUUCUUGCUAGACAUAUACAUGCAAGUAUCUGCGCCCCAGUGUAAAUGCCCCCAGCCCUUGGUUCCACAGGCAAGGGGAGCAGGUAUCAGGCACGCCCCUCAAAGCAGCCCAAGACACCUAGCCCGGCCACACCCCCACGGGUACUCAGCAGUAAUUAACAUUAAGCAAUGAGUGUAAACUUGACUUAGCCAUAGCAACACCCCAGGGUCGGCAAAUCUUGUGCCAGCCGCCGCGGUCACACAAGAGGCCCAAAUUAACAGAAAUUCGGCGUAAAGAGUGGUUACAUGCUAUCUCUACAACUAGGGCCAAAGUACAGCUAAGCUGUCAUAAGCUCAAGCUGCACCUAAGACCCCCCCUUAAGAUGGCCCUAGCGCACACGAUCCAUUAAGCCCCACCAAAGCUAGGGUCCAAACUGGGAUUAGAUACCCCACUAUGCCUAGCCCUAAAUCUUGGCACUUCCCCUACUAAAGUGCCCGCCCGAGAACUACGAGCACAAACGCUUAAAACUCUAAGGACUUGGCGGUGCCCCAAACCCACCUAGAGGAGCCUGUUCUAUAAUCGAUAACCCACGAUUCACCCGACCGCCCCUUGCCAAAACAGCCUACAUACCGCCGUCGUCAGCCCACCUUCGUGAAAGAACAACAGUGAGCGUAAUAGCCUCGUCCGCUAACAAGACAGGUCAAGGUAUAGCUCAUGGGGCGGAAGAAAUGGGCUACAUUUUCUGAGACAGAAAACUUAACGAAAGGGAACGUGAAACCGUCCCCAAAAGGCGGAUUUAGCAGUAAAGCGGGACAAUAGAGCCCCCUUUAAACCGGCCCUGAGGCACGUACAUACCGCCCGUCACCCUCCUCACAAGCCACAGACGCCCUAUAACUAAUAUGCCCACCGGCCAAAGAUGAGGCAAGUCGUAACAAGGUAAGUGUACCGGAAGGUGCACUUAGCCCACC
rnacentral:ncRNA from 1 species